UCAGCUUCUUUUUUUUUUUUUUUUGCUAAAAGUUGAUUCAGCUUCUUGCUAACGCUCUAUAUCAAUUACAGAUUCCCCAUCUUAAAGUCAUUCUCAAAUCAUCACUCACUAUCUAUCUUGAAUGCGAUCUUCUUCAUGCGAGGAGGCGGUGGAACAUAAAAGGCGAUCUUCCUUCCGAUCUGAAGACCGGACGAUGCUCCUCCACCUUUCAAGUCCGGUUUCUCCGCUUCUGGGAGGCCAGGAACGUCCGACGCGGCGGCAAACCCAUGGGGGUCGACAUGUUGCUGCUUGAUUUCCAGUACCGGCAACUUCCACGUUCUACAGCAUAAGACGCCAUUCCAAAAGACGUGUACUCUAUCUAUUAUCUCCGAUUUAUAGGAACUUCUGCCCGGAACAUGGAAGACCUUGACAGUACACCGAGGCUGAGAGCUAUCUUCAGUUUGUAGAAAGAACGCUGAGGAAGCAACAUCUGCCUCCCAUUGCACUAACUACACUCUCGAAGCACUUGAUCGUAGCUUUGUCUACAAAAAUGGCGCUGGAAAACAUGUCAGCUUUUCCAUUAACCUCUGGAACAACUUGGCUGAAGACAAUUAUACUGUUUAAAUGGAGAUUGGGCACCUUUGCUAGAUGGUGUGAGAGAACAUCCUGACAACUGUACUCGCUUGCAAGCCUUUUGAUCUCAGAUUUCUACUGCUGCUAUAAAGCCUUACAACACUGUUUUCUUGCCGCAUUCUCUAUUUGAAAAAUCUAUCCAUUUUCCUAAAUUUUGCGAGCUCAGUGUUGCGGUUGUGGUGCGUUGAAGUUUUGAGCUAGAGUUCUCCCUCAAAUGUCUCCAUUUUUUCUUUCCUAUCUCGAAGUCACCAUUGCUCUUUUAGCAGGUCAACCUAACGAAUCUGGAACAUAUUAAUGAGAACCACAUGCAUGAAGGAACAAAAGGAAUUGGUAAUGAGGAAUCAGGCGAGCCCGCCAGCAGCACAAAGAAAGGGCAAAAUUGCGGUGGCGAUAGAAUCAGAGCAGAUACACAGUGUCGUUACGAUGUGUGAUUUGAUUGGAUGAUUUCGACGUAAACGUCGUUAGUAUUCUGGUGGGAUGCAAUCAGAGUGUUUGUAAAGAAGAUAAUUUUGGGGCUUAAAUAUUUGGUAUCAUGCAGUCUUGAUAUUCUUACGUUUUCGGAUUAACGGGAAAUCUUUUUCAGCUCUUAGCUUUUAUCAAUCAUCUAUGUCAUGACCUAACCUUAGUUUGGUCUUUCAUAUUUUUUUUUAUCUGUAUUCUUAUAACCUUAAAGAAAGGUUGGUGGUAUUAUUUUAUUAACUUCGGGAUCAAUAUA